rnacentral:rRNA from 1 species
UACGUGAAACCGUUCAGGGGUAAACCUGAGAAACCCGAAAGGUCGAAAGGGGAAAUUCAGCGUGUCUCAGUUGCGGCGCUGGGCGGUCGUGCGACGGACGGCGUACGCGUCGUCUGCGCCUUCCGUUCUCCGAACCGUAGCCGAACGCGUGCACUUUUCCCCCAGUAGGACGUCGCGAUCCGUUGGGUGCCGGUCUAAGGGCCGCGGUGGAGUCCGUCUGGACGGCUUGCCGUUCCGGACGAACCCGUGGUUUCCCGGCCGGCUCGCUCGACGGUAUACAUAUGGCGCGAGGCCGCUACUCAGUUAGCGUUCGACCCGCGGCAAGCGCGCUCGUCGUGUCGGUGAUCGGACCUGGUCCGGUCCCGGCCCCGGGUGGCUGUUCGCUGCGGUGUUCUCGGACAGACCUCGAUGAAACGCCGAUCAGCGACGCUAUAGCUUUGGGUACUUUCAGGACCCGUCUUGAAACACGGACCAAGGAGUCUAGCAUGUGCGCGAGUCAUUGGGACAUGACUAAACCUAAAGGCGCAAUGAAAGUGAAGGCCCGCCUUGCGCGGGCCGAGGGAGGAUGGGCGGUCGUUACGGCUGCCGCCCCGCACUCCCGGGGCGUCUCAUUCUCAUUGCGAGAAGAGGCGCACCAAGAGCGUACACGCUGGGACCCGAAAGAUGGUGAACUAUGCCUGGUCAGGACGAUAGUCAGGGGAAACCCUGAUGGAGGUCCGUAGCGAUUCUGACGUGCAAAUCGAUCGUCGAACU